rnacentral:rRNA from 1 species
GACAGAGGGUGCAAACGUUUGUUCGGAAUUACUGGGCGUAAAGCGCGUGUAGGCGGCCAUCUAAGUCGGGCGUGAAAUCCCACGGCUCAACCGUGGAAGUGCACUCGAAACUGGAUGGCUAGAGUCCUGGAGAGGAAGGUGGAAUGCUUGGUGUAGAGGUGAAAUUCGUAGAUAUCAAGCGGAACACCGGUGGCGAAGGCGGCCUUCUGGACAGUGACUGACGCUGAGACG